UGGGGUGUAGGCAAAUGGUAUGCCAACAGUUUUUGGUACUGUAGAUUGGAGGUUCGAGUCCUCCCACCCCAUCCA
rnacentral:tRNA from 1 species